rnacentral:rRNA from 1 species
AGUCGAGCGGCACCUUCGGGUGUAGCGGCGGACGGGUUAGUAACGCGUGGGAANGGGCCCUUCUCUACGGAAUAGCCUCGGGAAACUGAGAGUAAUACCGUAUACGCCCUUUGGGGGAAAGAUUUAUCGGAGAAGGAUCGGCCCGCGUCUGAUUAGAUAGUUGGUGGGGUAAUGGCCUACCAAGUCUACGAUCAGUAGCUGGUUUUAGAGGAUGAUCAGCAACACUGGGACUGAGACACGGCCCAGACUCCUACGGGAGGCAGCAGUGGGGAAUCUUAGACAAUGGGCGCAAGCCUGAUCUAGCCAUGCCGCGUGAGUGAUGAAGGCCUUAGGGUCGUAAAGCUCUUUCGCCAGAGAUGAUAAUGACAGUAUCUGGUAAAGAAACCCCGGCUAACUCCGUGCCAGCAGCCGCGGUAAUACGGAGGGGGUUAGCGUUGUUCGGAAUUACUGGGCGUAAAGCGCACGUAGGCGGAUCAGAAAGUUGGGGGUGAAAUCCCAGGGCUCAACCCUGGAACGGCCUCCAAAACUCCUGGUCUUGAGUUCGAGAGAGGUGAGUGGAAUUCCGAGUGUAGAGGUGAAAUUCGUAGAUAUUCGGAGGAACACCAGUGGCGAAGGCGGCUCACUGGCUCGAUACUGACGCUGAGGUGCGAAAGUGUGGGGAGCAAACAGGAUUAGAUACCCUGGUAGUCCACACCGUAAACGAUGAAUGCCAGUCGUCGGGUAGUAUACUGCUCGGUGACACACCUAACGGAUUAAGCAUUCCGCCUGGGGGAGUACGGUCGCAAGAUUAAAACUCAAAGGAAUUGACGGGGGGCCCGCACAAGCGGUGGGAGCAUGUGGUUUUAAUUCGAAGCAACGCG